rnacentral:rRNA from 1 species
GACGAACGCUGGCGGCGUGCUUAACACAUGCAAGUCGAACGAAGUGGCGAACGGGUGAGUAACGCGUAAUCAACCUGCCCUUCAGAGGGGGACAACAGUUGGAAACGACUGCUAAUACCGCAUACUGAAGGAGGGGAUUGCGUCUGAUUAGCUAGUUGGAGGGGUAACGGCCCACCAGGGCGAUGAUCAGUAGCCGGUCUGAGAGGAUGAACGGCCACAUUGGGACUGAGACAAGGGCCAGAAUUCUACGGGGGGCAGCAGGGGGGAAUCUUCCGCAAUGGGGGAAAGUCUGACGGCGCAACGCCGCGGGAGUGGUGACGGCCUUCGGGUUGUAAAGCUCUGUUAAUCGGGACGCGGUACCGGAAUAGAAAGCCACGGCUAACUACGUGCCAGCAGCCGCGGUAAUUC